rnacentral:lncRNA from 1 species
UGAAAGUGAAAGGUCUGGAGGUAUCAUAUUUUGCAUUCAUCAGGAGCCUAAGGCUGCCAGUGACCAACACCUAGAAUAUGGGAAUGAAGGAAGCCAACCUUCAGGAGCCAGAAUACAGAGAUGAGACCUGGUGGCCAUUUGUUUCUAAAUAAAGCUGUACCUGAAGAUAUCAUUCCCCAAAGACCCUGCCAUUAUAUGAGACAACGGUUACAUUUUUUGUUUAUGGCAAUUUAAGUUGAAUUUUCUAGUGUUUGUUCUAGUAACCACCGUUGUCUUCUCUGCUUCUGUGAGUUU